UACGUAGGGUGCAAACAUUAUCCGGAUUUAUUGGGCGUAAAGAGCUCGUAGGUGGAUUCUUAAGUCGAAUAUUAAAUACUCCGGCUCAACUGGAGGAAUGUAUCCGAAACUGGGAAACUUGAGGUAUGUAGGGGAGGAUGGAACUUACGGUGUAGCAGUGAAAUGCGUAGAUAUCGUAAGGAACGCCAAUGGUGAAGACAGUCCUCUGGACAUUACCUGACACUGAGGAGCGAAAGCGUGGGGAGCGAACGGG
rnacentral:rRNA from 1 species